CACAACAUUAAAAUGUAACACACACAGAAACGGACUAAGCACUAGACACAAUCCUAUGAGAAUAACAAAUAACAUCAAAACCAAAUACAUGAAUUUGGGAUAGAUAAGUACCGUGACACGUCUUAUAGUAAUGUAAAUUCACACUCAAAAAUAAGAGAAAACAAACGACACAACGGAAACACAACGUUAAAAUGCAACACACACAGAAAC
rnacentral:lncRNA from 1 species